CUCCUUCAUGCCAUUCACUUCCUUCACACGUACCCAGGCAGGGAUCGUCUGACGUGACACAGUGUUCACCAGAAAGUCCCCGAUAAUGGACAUAGUGCUGCCUGGUCCUCCAGUAUUCGGAGCACACUGGGGGCAGCACUUUGUCAGCAGUCCCUUAGGCAGGGUGCCCCCCUGUCCCUUCUCAUUGGAAGUCUA